rnacentral:rRNA from 1 species
GAUGAACGCUGGCGGCGUGCCUAAUACAUGCAAGUCGAGCGAACAGACGAGGAGCUUGCUCCUCUGACGUUAGCGGCGGACGGGUGAGUAACACGUGGAUAACCUACCUAUAAGACUGGGAUAACUUCGGGAAACCGGAGCUAAUACCGGAUAAUAUAUUGAACCGCAUGGUUCAAUAGUGAAAGACGGUUUUGCUGUCACUUAUAGAUGGAUCCGCGCUGCAUUAGCUAGUUGGUAAGGUAACGGCUUACCAAGGCAACGAUGCGUAGCCGACCUGCGAGGGUGAUCGGCCACACUGGAACUGAGACACGGUCCAGACGCCUGCGGGAGGCAGCAGUAGGGAAUCUUCCGCAGUGGGCGAAAGCUUGACGGAGCAACGCCGCGUGAGUGAUGAAGGUCUUCGGAUCGUAAAACUCUGUUAUUAGGGAAGAACAAAUGUGUAAGUAACUGUACACGUCUUGACGGUACCUAAUCAGAAAGCCACGGCUAACUACGUG